rnacentral:rRNA from 1 species
GAUGAACGCUGGCGGCGUGCCUAAUACAUGCAAGUCGAGCGAACGGACGAGAAGCUUGCUUCUCUGAUGUUAGCGGCGGACGGGUGAGUAACACGUGGAUAACCUACCUAUAAGACUGGGAUAACUUCGGGAAACCGGAGCUAAUACCGGAUAAUAUUUUGAACCGCAUGGUUCAAAAGUGAAAGACGGUCUUGCUGUCACUUAUAGAUGGAUCCGCGCUGCAUUAGCUAGUUGGUAAGGUAACGGCUUACCAAAGCAACGAUGCAUAGCCGACCUGAGAGGGUGAUAGGCCACACUGGAACUGAGACACGGUCCAGACUCCUAAGGGAGGCAGCAGUAGGGAAUCUUCCGCAAUGGGCGAAAGCCUGACGGAGCAACGCCGCGUGAGUGAUGAAGGUCUUCGGAUCGUAAAACUCUGUUAUUAGGGAAGAACAUAUGUGUAAGUAACUGUGCACAUCUUGACGGUACCUAAUCAGAAAGCCACGGCUAACUACGUG